CUUGCAUCAUGAUUUACAUUUGAGUGAGUGGCGAACUGGUGAGUAACACGUGGGAAACCUGCCCAGAAGCGGGGGAUAACACCUGGAAACAGAUGCUAAUACCGCAUAACAACUUGGACCGCAUGGUCCGAGUUUGAAAGAUGGCUUCGGCUAUCACUUUUGGAUGGUCCCGCGGCGUAUUAGCUAGAUGGUGAGGUAACGGCUCACCAUGGCAAUGAUACGUAGCCGACCUGAGAGGGUAAUCGGCCACAUUGGGACUGAGACACGGCCCAAACUCCUACGGGAGGCAGCAGUAGGGAAUCUUCCACAAUGGACGAAAGUCUGAUGGAGCAACGCCGCGUGAGUGAAGAAGGGUUUCGGCUCGUAAAACUCUGUUGUUAAAGAAGAACAUAUCUGAGAGUAACUGUUCAGGUAUUGACGGUAUUUAACCAGAAAGCCACGGCUAACUACGUGCCAGCAGCCGCGGUAAUACGUAGGUGGCAAGCGUUGUCCGGAUUUAUUGGGCGUAAAGCGAGCGCAGGCGGUUUUUUAAGUCUGAUGUGAAAGCCUUCGGCUCAACCGAAGAAGUGCAUCGGAAACUGGAAAACUUGAGUGCAGAAGAGGACAGUGGAACUCCAUGUGUAGCGGUGAAAUGCGUAGAUAUAUGGAAGAACACCAGUGGCGAAGGCGGCUGUCUGGUCUGUAACUGACGCUGAGGCUCGAAAGUAUGGGUAGCAAACAGGAUUAGAUACCCUGGUAGUCCAUACCGUAAACGAUGAAUGCUAAGUGUUGGAGGGUUUCCGCCCUUCAGUGCUGCAGCUAACGCAUUAAGCAUUCCGCCUGGGGAGUACGGCCGCAAGGCUGAAACUCAAAGGAAUUGACGGGGGCCCGCACAAGCGGUGGAGCAUGUGGUUUAAUUCGAAGCUACGCGAAGAACCUUACCAGGUCUUGACAUACUAUGCAAAUCUAAGAGAUUAGACGUUCCCUUCGGGGACAUGGAUACAGGUGGUGCAUGGUGUCGUCAGCUCG
rnacentral:rRNA from 2 species